CCAAAGGCUCUUUUCAGAGCCACCCAGAGGCCUCGAGAAACAGCUG
rfam:Myotis brandtii contig219004, whole genome shotgun sequence.